AUGAUGGAUGAUGGAGACGUUCUUGGAGGAGUGGAGCUUGAUGUUAAUGUUCCUGGGAGUGAUAGUCUCACUAUCAGAAGAUUUUUCUGGGCACAAGACAGGGUUGACUCUCUGUUUGCUUAUGAGGGUGCUGCUUUCCAGGCAAUUAUAUACUUGCAGCGUUUGUAUGGGUUUGUCAUUGUUGAUUACAAUUAUACACCCAUGACCACCUAUCGAGACCUUGCUCGCUCAGCGGUUAUUCUAGCUACAUCGUCGGUUAGAUCUACCAUUCCAGUUGCUUCUGGUGAUGGCUCCGUCGCUGUGGGUGACGUCGAUGUUGUUGCGCAGCGGCGGAUGCUACAUGCUGGCUUGGUUUCUACCGCCUGUAGCUUUUAG
rnacentral:rRNA from 1 species